ensembl:snRNA U4 U4 spliceosomal RNA
AGCUUUGCAUAGUGGCAGUAUCGUAGCCAAUGAGGUUUAUCUGAGGCACGAUUAUUGCUAAUUGAGAAAUAUAACAAUUUUAUGAAUUAUGAGUAUUGUAAAUAUAUCAGUUUUCCUAAACUAAUCUAUAGAUU